rnacentral:miRNA from 1 species
UCCUUCCAGUCGACGAGGUACAUGUACCUCGUCGACCGGAAGGAUUUCCUUCCAGUGUACCUCGUCAACCGGAAGGAUUUCCUUCCAGUUGACCGGCGAGGUACAUGUACCCCGCCGGCUGGAAGGG